rnacentral:rRNA from 1 species
AUUGAACGCUGGCGGAAUGCUUUACACAUGCAAGUCGAGCGGCAGCACGGGGGAAACCCUGGUGGCGAGCGGCGAACGGGUGAGUAAUACAUCGGAACAUGCCCAGUCGUGGGGGAUAACACUUCGAAAGAAGUGCUAAUACCGCAUACGUCCUGAGGGGGAAAGCGGGGGAUCGCAAGACCUCGCGCGAUUGGAGUGGCCGAUGUCCGAUUAGCUAGUUGGUGGGGUAAAGGCCUACCAAGGCAACGAUCUGUAGCUGGUCUGAGAGGAUGAUCAGCCACACUGGGACUGAGACACGGCCCAGACUCCUACGGGAGGCAGCAGUGGGGAAUUUUGGACAAUGGGGGCAACCCUGAUCCAGCCAUUCCGCGUGAGUGAAGAAGGCCUUCGGGUUGUAAAGCUCUUUCGGCAGGAACGAAACGGUGAGCUCUAACAUAGCUUGCUAAUGACGGUACCUGAAGAAGAAGCACCGGCUAACUACGUG